CCUUUGCCUAUUAUUUUUUGGCACAUGCAAAAAUGGAUCUUUGGUUACUGCUGUGGAUACUGUGUUAUUCAAUAAUAGCCUUAAUCCUGAGAUCUUAACUGGAUUUUCUUCUCAGUGCUGACAAAUGUUUCAACCAGCGUGUUGUAUGAAGUAGAGUCAGGAUCUGCACCCCAUUGUUCCUUAUUUCGUGGUCUUUCUGCUCACCUGUACAGGAUUUGGAAGACUGCCUUCCGAGCUGUGAUUUGCAAGACAGCAGAUCACAUUUCUCCCUGGGACUGUACAAAAUACAUGUCUGUCAGUACAAAUAAAAUCUCUUUUAUUUGCUGUCA